rnacentral:rRNA from 1 species
UACGUAGGGUGCGAGCGUUAAUCGGAAUUACUGGGCGUAAAGCGUGCGCAGGCGGUUUUUUAAGCCAGAUGUGAAAUCCCCGGGCUCAACCUGGGAAUGGCAUUUGGGACUGCAAGGCUGGAGUUUGGCAGAGGAGACUGGAAUUCCCGGUGUAGCAGUGAAAUGCGUAGAUAUCGGGAGGAAUACCGAUGGCGAAGGCAGGUCUCUGGGCUAUAACUGACGCUCAUGCACGAAAGCGUGGGGAGCAAACAGG